AGAGAGAAUUGAAUAAAUUCUUUUCUCCCUGGCCGAGACCUGUAACAGCGUGAAUCAAAAUUCAAUGCAAAAAGUGCUUGAAUAAAUUGAGUGCAGCAGAGAAAUCAAUUGCAAAUAAUCUAUUAAAAUAUAACUAUUAAACUUAAAAAGAGAACAUUGAAAAUAUGCUACCUCCAAUUAAAAGCAAAUUAAAAACCUUUCUAGAAAUUGCAAAUAACACCAUGGUGAUAACCCGUGAGCCCUUCUCUUCAUUCAAAAAGAAAUUGCUAUCACCAUAUCACGUUCCAUCCUUUCCCUUUCUCCACAUUUUUUUAAAAUAAAAUAAAAAAAAACUAGCUUCUAAAUGUUGUACCGUCCAGCCCCACAAAAUGAAAUAACAUAGGAUAUAAUUAUACUUUCCCAUCCAAUCAUCAUGCAUCAACUUUGGAAUCAAGAGAAUAAUAAAAAAAAAUCAACGUUCAUACACUUCAAAGAAACCGUACAUCAUCCAUUUCUCCUAGAAAAACAUUGCAAGAUGAAAAAGCAAAAAAAAUUGAAUGUGUCGGCUGGACUAAAAAGAACUCAAAGGCACCGUUCCAGCAAUCAAAACUGUGUAUCAGCAUUUGCAGCCAAAAAAAAAAAAACCGUUCCACCCUUUGCACCCCAAAAUAUCCAAUAGCUAAAAUAAAAUAAGAAAACUGGACAAAAGCUUCUUCACUCAUCCAUUUAAAUUGCUGAACUAUAUAUCAACCAAAAUCCAAUAGCAAUAACAUGGUUCAAAGAAAGAAAGAAAAGCUCCUACAAGAAAACGUUCCAGCCAAGUCUCCUUCAAAAACGCUAUAGCUCUCUCCUUUUCAAAUACGUUCUAGCAGCUCUCCUCAAAAAAUGACGGCUAGUUGCAUUUUCUAAGGGCCAUG
rnacentral:lncRNA from 1 species